rnacentral:rRNA from 1 species
CCUACGGGAGGCAGCAGUGGGGAAUAUUGGGCAAUGGGCGCAAGCCUGACCCAGCAACGCCGCGUGAAGGAAGAAGGCUCUCGGGUUGUAAACUUCUUUUAUCAGGGACGAAGCAAGUGACGGUACCUGAUGAAUAAGCCACGGCUAACUACGUGCCAGCAGCCGCGGUAAUACGUAGGUGGCAAGCGUUAUCCGGAUGUACUGGGUGUAAAGGGCGUGUAGGCGGGAAAGCAAGUCAGAUGUGAAAGCCAUGGGCUCAACCUGUGGCCUGCAUUUGAAACUGGUAUGCUUGAGUACUGGAGAGGGAGACGGAAUUCCAAGUGUAGCGGUGAAAUGCGUAGAGAUCAGGAGGAACACCAGUGGCGAAGGCGGUCUGCUGGACAGAAACUGACGCUGAGGUGCGAAAGCGUGGGGAGCAAACAGGAUUAGAUACCCCUGUAGUC